rnacentral:rRNA from 1 species
AGGGGGAUAACAGUUGGAAACGACUGCUAAUACCGCAUAAGCGCACGGUAUCGCAUGAUACAGUGUAGAAAACUCCGGUGGUAUAAGAUCGGACCCGCGUCUGAUUAGCUUGUGUGAGGUACGGCCCACCAAGGCGACGAUCAGUAGCCGGCCUGAGAGGGUGAACGGCCACAUUGGGACUGAGACACGGACCCAAACUCCUACGGGAGGCAGCAGGUGGGGAAUAUUGCACAAUGGGGGAAACCCUGAUGCAGCGACGCCGCGUGAGUGAUGAAGUAUUUCGGUAUGUAAAACUCUAUCAGCAGGGAAGAUAAUGACGGUACCUGACUAAGAAGCACCGGCUAAAUACGUG